UUUAGUUCUUGUUGCAGCAGCUUGUAUACAGUGAACUGCGAAUGGCUCAUUAAAUCAGUUAUCGUUUAUUUGAUAGUACCUUACUACUUGGAUAACCGUGGUAAUUCUAGAGCUAAUACAUGCUAAAAAUCCCGACCUCCGGAAGGGAUGUAUUUAUUAGAUAAAAAACCAAUGGCUUCGGCCUCUUUGGUGAUUCAUGAUAACUUAACGAAUCGCAUGGCCUUGCGCCGGCGAUGGUUCAUUCAAAUUUCUGCCCUAUCAACUUUCGAUGGUAGGAUAGUGGCCUACCAUGGUUUCAACGGGUAACGGGGAAUUAGGGUUCUAUUCCGGAGAGGGAGCCUGAGAAACGGCUACCACAUCCAAGGAAGGCAGCAGGCGCGCAAAUUACCCAAUCCCAAUCCGGGGAGGUAGUGACAAUAAAUACUGAUACAGGGCUCUUUCGGGUCUUGUAAUUGGAAUGAGUACAAUUUAAAUCCCUUAACGAGGAACAAUUGGAGG
rnacentral:rRNA from 1 species